UCCAGACUCCUACGGGAGGCAGCAGUGGGGAAUAUUGCACAAUGGGGGAAACCCUGAUGCAGCGACGCCGCGUGAGUGAAGAAGUGAUUCGUUAUGUAAAGCUCUAUCAGCAGGGAAGAAAAUGACGGUACCUGACUAAGAAGCCCCGGCUAACUACGUGCCAGCAGCCGCGGUAAUACGUAGGGGGCAAGCGUUAUCCGGAUUUACUGGGUGUAAAGGGAGCGUAGACGGCAUGGCAAGUCAGAUGUGAAAGCCCGGGGCUCAACCCCGGGACUGCAUUUGAAACUGUCAGGCUGGAGUGCAGGAGAGGUAAGUGGAAUUCCUAGUGUAGCGGUGAAAUGCGUAGAUAUUAGGAGGAACACCAGUGGCGAAGGCGGCUUACUGGACUGUAACUGACGUUGAGGCUCGAAAGCGUGGGGAGCAAACAGGAUUAGAUACCCGAGUA
rnacentral:rRNA from 1 species